rnacentral:tRNA from 1 species
GAGGGUAUAGCUCCGUGGUAGAGCACAUGCUUAGUUAGCAUGCACAAGGUCCUGGGUUCAAUCCCCAGUACCUCCA